ACGCUCGACACCUACGAGAGGCAGCAGUUGGGAAUAUUGGACAAUGGAGGAAACUCUGAUCCAGUGACGCCGCGUGAAGGAAGAAGGUCUUCGGAUUGUAAACUUAUUUUGUCAGGGAAGAAAAAUGACUGUACCUGAAGAAAAAGCACCGGCUAACUACGUGCUAGCAGCCGCGGUAAUCUGAGGCGGGCUGGCAAGGC
rnacentral:rRNA from 1 species